GAUGAACGCUGGCGGCGUGCCUAAUACAUGCAAGUCGAGCGAACGGACGAGAAGCUUGCUUCUCUGAUGUUAGCGGCGGACGGGUGAGUAACACGUGGAUAACCUACCUAUAGGACUGGGAUAACUUCGGGAAACCGGAUCUAAUACCGGAUAAUAUUUUGAACCGCAUGGUUCAAAAGUGAAAGACGGUCUUGCUGUCACUUAUAGAUGGAUCCGCGCUGCAUUAGCUAGUUGGUAAGGUAACGGCUUACCAAGGCAACGAUGCAUAGCCGACCUGAGAGGGUGAUCGGCCACACUGGAACUGAGACACGGUCCAGACUCCUACGGGAGGCAGCAGUAGGGAAUCUUCCGCAAUGGGCGAAAGCCUGACGGAGCAACGCCGCGUGAGUGAUGAAGGUCUUCGGAUCGUAAAACUCUGUUAUUAGGGAAGAACAUAUGUGUAAGUAACUGUGCACAUCUUGACGGUACCUAAUCAGAAAGCCACGGCUAACUACGUG
rnacentral:rRNA from 1 species